rnacentral:rRNA from 1 species
UCCAGACUCCUACGGGAGGCAGCAGUGGGGGAUAUUGCACAAUGGGGGGAACCCUGAUGCAGCGACGCCGCGUGGGUGAAGGAGCGUUUCGGCGCGUAAAGCCCUAUCGGCAGGGAAGAAGGAGGACGGUACCUGACUAAGAAGCCCUGGCUAACUACGUGCCAGCAGCCGCGGUAAUACGUAGGGGGCAAGCGUUAUCCGGAUUUACUGGGUGUAAAGGGGGCGCAGACGGCAGCGCAAGCCAGGAGUGAAAGCCCGGGGCCCAACCCCGGGACUGCUCUUGGAACUGCGCGGCUGGAGUGCAGGAGGGGCAGGCGGAAUUCCUGGUGUAGCGGUGAAAUGCGUAGAUAUCAGGAGGAACACCGGUGGCGAAGGCGGCCUGCUGGACUGCGACUGACGUUGAGGCCCGAAAGCGUGGGGAGCAAACAGGAUUAGAUACCCCUGUAC